GAUGAACGCUGGCGGCGCGCCUAACACAUGCAAGUCGAACGAUUAAAGCACCUUCGGGUGUGUAUAAAGUGGCGAACGGCUGAGUAACACGUGGGCAACCUGCCCCUUUCAUUGGGAUAGCCACGGGAAACCGUGGAUAAUACCGAAUACUUCGAGACUUCCGCAUGGAAGACUCGAGAAAGCUCCGGCGGAGAGGGAUGGGCCCGCGGCCUGUUAGCUUGUUGGGGGGGGAACGGCCUACCAAGGCAAUGAUGGGUAGCUGGGUUGAGAGACCGACCAGCCAGAUUGGGACUGAGACACGGCCCAGCCUCCUACGGGAGGCAGCAGUGGGGAAUCUUGCACAAUGGGCGAAAGCCUGAUGCAGCGACGCCGCGUGCGGGAUGAAGGCCUUCGGGUUGUAACCCGCUUUCAGCAGGGACGAGGCGAAAGUGACGGUACCUGCAGAAGAAGCCCCGGCUAACUACGUG
rnacentral:rRNA from 1 species